GGAGCUGCGCUCCGCUUCGGGGUCCUCUCUAGGAUCGCGGGAGGACUUUGCAUCCCUGUGUAGGGCUCUAAUCUCCGGUUUGGGGAUCUUGUUCCUCAGCUUGUCCGCUCCGAGGAGGUGCACAGGGCGGGGAAAAAGGGAUGAAUUUCCCUUUAUACCGCGCUGCUCAGAUACUUAUAUGUUCCUUCUAUUUUUCUUGAUGACAAUAAUUGUAAUAGUUACAAUAAAAAUAGUGAUUGUCUGUGGCAGAGGAGCUGAAACAAGGGUGGAGACAGGAAGAUCAAGAAUAAAUGGUUUCACAAAACGAAGAGAUUGUCUCUUGAGACGCUGAUUAUAGGAAAUGUUCUUCCUGGAAAUGAGGAUCAUAACCCAGCUGGUUCCAGAUUUCGGAGCAGGGAGACACAAAUUCUACAGUAUGCUUCAGGGCAACGCGAAUGGGGCUGUAAUGAAGAACAGUCUGUUUCUGGAAGAUGCCAACAUGCUGAACUGACCCAAUCCCCAAUCUGUGCAGAGGCCAAGGCUCUUCUGUCUCCCAUCAGUUAGUUGUAGGGAACUUCUAUAAGGCCAUAGGUGUAAGUUUAUGGGAGAGGUGGCAGUAGAGCAGAGGUAAGUGACCUGGGAGUUUGGAAACGUGGGUUUUGUUUUUUUUUGCCUUAGAAGGCAUGACCUUGCUCCAGAAUCUUAGGUAUUUGUGCUGUGACUCUUUAUUAUGGGUUGAAUUGUACUUCCACCUCAUCCCCAAUUAACAGGUUGAAGUUCUAGCCCCUAAUACCUCCGAAUGUGAUCUUAUUUGGCAAUAGGAGCGUUGUAGAUGUAAUUACUUAAGAUGCGGUCAUAGUAGAUUAGGGUGGGUCCCUCAUCUAAUGACUGGUAUCCUUAUAAAAAAGGGAAGUUUGGAGAUAGUACACACGGAGAAUGCCAAAUGAAGAUGAGGGUAAAGACUGGGAAAAUGCUUCUUACGACGCCAAGGAGUGCAAAAUAUAUCCAGCAAAUCCCCAGAAACUAGGAGAGAGGCAUGGACAGAUUCCUUCUCACAGCCUCAAUAGGAACCACACCUUAAUUUCUGACUUCUAGCCUCCAGACUGUGAACCAACAGAUUUCUGUUGUUUAAGCCACCCAGUUUGUGGUACUUUGUUAUAGGAGCCCUAACACAUGAAUGCACACUCUUAUUGGGGUUUGCCAGCAACUCCAUACAGCACCUGUAUCCAUCAAGGAUAUUUCUGGAACCACUGAAUUUGCAAGUAAGCUUGCACUGUUGCUUGGAUUUACCAUAGAGCUCUCUCUUGCCCCAAUAAAAAGUGGAAACUGGCCGGGCAUGGUGGCUCACGUCUGUAAUCCCAGCACUUUGGGAGGCCGAGGUGGGUGGAUUGCUUGAGGUCAGGAGUUCAAGAUCAGCCUGGCUAACAUGGUGAAACCCCUCCUCUACUAAAAUACAAAAAUGCUGGGCGUGGUGGUGGGCACCUGUAAUCCCAGCUACUAGGGAGGCUGAGGCAGGAGAAUUGCUUGAAUCCAGAAAGCAGAGGUUGCAGUGAGCCGAGAUCAUGGCACUGUACUCCAGCCUGGGCUACAGAGCAAGACUCCGUGUCAAGAAAAAAAAUAAUAAUAAAUAAAUAUAUAAAUAAAAAGUGGAAGCCUUUUAGGUCACCUAAUACAUGUGUUGGAACAGUUUUCUCAGGUGCAGAAUAUGCUACCUCCCAAAUCCAAAGGGGCCCACCAGGACCUGUACCAAUUUUUUUGGGAUUAGAGGGUGCAAGGUGAAACAACUUUCUUUUACCUUUGGGUGAUGUCCCCAAACCACUGGACCCCACCAAAACUUCAUCCAUUUGAUAAGUGCCCAUAUCUUCAGGUUUCUAUACUGCCUUAGUAAGAAGUCUUACUAGGAUGUCUAUGACCCUUGUCACUUGCUGCUCACUGGGUACUAUUAGCAUUUGUCAUCAAUAUGUGGACCAUCAUGAUGGUUGGGUAAAGUUCCUGCGGACUACACUGUGACACAGAACAGGUCUCAGGAUCCCACCUUCUCCCUGUAUGAGCCACGACUGACUCAGGGGACCUGCCGAGUCUGCACAAUUGGUCUCCUUUGCAUUACUGUUACUAUUACAAACAGAUCCUCGGCCUAAAUUUUCAGCUUAGCUAGAUGCAGAAUUACCUUAGUAAUUUAUUAAAAAUCAGCUAUUGUAUGUAUCUAGAUCUAUUUCUGGACUUUUUUUUCUUUAAGAAAUUCACCCUCAUAUUUCUGGACUUUCUGUUCUGCUCUAUUGAUCUAUUUGUCUCUCUUUAUGCUGAUACCAUACCAUCCUGAUUACUAUAGCUUUAGGAAAAAAUCUUAAGAGAAUACAAGUAUUCUAAUUUUAUUCUUUUUCAAAAUUGUUUUGGCAAUCCUAAAUCCUUAGCAUUUCUAUAUAAAGUUUAGAAUCAGUUUGUUAAUUUGCACUAAAAAAAAACAAAAUAGGCUAGGUGCGGUGGCUCACGCCUGUAAUCCCAGCACUUUGGGAGGCCAAGACAGGCGGAUCACCUGAGGUCAGGAGUUUGAGACCAGCCUGGCCAACAUGGUGAAACCCCAU